GUUUCCGUGGUGUAGUGGUCAUCGCAUUCGUCUAACACACAAAAGGUCCCUGGUUCGAAACCGGGCGGCAACA